rnacentral:rRNA from 1 species
GNGNGUGCUACCAUGCAGUCGAGCGAUCUCUUCGGAGAGAGCGGCGGACGGGUGAGUAACGCGUGGGUAACCUGCCCUGUACACACGGAUAACAUACCGAAAGGUAUACUAAUACGGGAUAACAUANGAAAGUCGCAUGGCUUUUGUAUCAAAGCUCCGGCGGUACAGGAUGGACCCGCGUCUGAUUAGCUAGUUGGUAAGGUAAUGGCUUACCAAGGCAACGAUCAGUAGCCGACCUGAGAGGGUGAUCGGCCACACUGGAACUGAGACACGGUCCAGACUCCUACGGGAGGCAGCAGUGGGGAAUAUUGCACAAUGGGCGAAAGCCUGAUGCAGCAACGCCGCGUGAGCGAUGAANGCCUUCGGGUCGUAAAGCUCUGUCCUCAAGGAAGAUAAUGACGGUACUUGAGGAGGAAGCCCGGCUAAUUCCUGCCAGCAAGCCGCGUUAAUACGUAGGGGCUAGCGUUUUCCGGAAUUACUGGGCGUAAAGGG